UGUUUGGUUCUUAGCCUUACGAACCUUG
rnacentral:sRNA from 1 species